ACGAUAUAUUAUAAGCCCAAUUCCGAUGAAUAUUGAGUAAUUGGUAUACACUAGACCCUAGUGUAGGUAGGGAUACCUACACCCCCCUCUAAAUGAUGCGUUUAUCAUGUUACCCACAUCCCAUAACCCACUAACCUACUGUAACUACCCACCAUUCUCUCUAAAACCUUCUUCUUCAUUUCUCUAGACUUUCUCUCUCAUCAAAACCAGAAAAUAUGAACCAAAAUUGCUUCAAAAUACUACGAAAUUGCUUCAAAAUACUACGAAAUUGCUUCAAAAUAUUGCUAAAUUCCUUCAAAUGUCUACAUUUGCGAAGAAAUUCAACAAUCGCAACAACAUUCACAGAAAGAAACCGAAAAAUAUAUUUCGAAUUAGAGAGAUAAAGAGAAUGAGGAUUCAGAGAAGAAUCCUGUUCGUUGAACAUAACAAGGCAUAGUCUGAAGAAACGUGAACCAAAUUAGGAAGCAAGGAUGCGGAACUGAUGCUAUUUGAAGAAAAACACUAAAUAUAGGUUAAAUAGAAGAUAAGCAAGGAAGUUUGCAAAUGAAUAGUACAUGUUAUAUGUUCAUUUAUGAAAGUGUAUAUGUUCAUUAAUGAAUGUGUAUAUGAUCAUAUCUUAUACUUCC